rnacentral:rRNA from 2 species
AGCAGCCGCGGUAAUUCCAGCUCCAAUAGCGUAUAUUAAAGUUGCUGCAGUUAAAAAGCUCGUAGUUGAAUUUCGGGACUAAUAUGUCGGUCGUGCCUCGGUACGUACUGGUUUAUUGGUUUCUCCUUUCUGAAGAACCAUGAUGUCAUUUAUUUGGUGUCGUGGGGAAUCAGGACUGUUACUUUGAAAAAUUAGAGUGUUUAAAGCAGGCUCACGCUUGAAUACAUUAGCAUGGAAUAAUGAAAUAGGACGUUUGAUUCUAUUUUGUUGGUUUCUAGGAUCGACGUAAUGAUUAAUAGGGAUAGUUGGGGGCAUUAGUAUUCAAUUGUCAGAGGUGAAAUUCUUGGAUUUAUUGAAGACUAACUACUGCGAAAGCAUUUGCCAAGGAUGUUUUCAUUAAUCAAGAACGAAAGUUAGGGGAUCGAAGACGAUCAGAUACCGUCGUAGUCU